UCGGUUCGGGCGCUUUGUGGGUAUCGAGUAUCAAUUGUUUUAGUUAAAAUAUAUGUUUGUUGAUGGGUUGUGUUUUGGGUCCGUGAUAGAUAUGUUGAAUUUCAGCAAUUAUAAAUAUGUAUGCAUAUUAUUAUUUCUAAAACAACCUUCAUAUUUUAGUUUGAAAGACAAAGGAAGGAUAUGUCAAUCCUAGGGGAUACUUAGAAAGACA
rnacentral:lncRNA from 1 species